rnacentral:pre_miRNA from 1 species
ACUGGGGGGGGGGAGAGGCCCUCAACCUGGAUUGCGAGAGGGUGCAGGCCAGGCCGAGGGACACCACCGGUGCACA